AAUACUUUUUGUUAUCAUAA
rnacentral:miRNA from 1 species